CGGGACGUGGCGCAGCUUGGUAGCGCACUUGACUGGGGGUCAAGGGGUCGUGGGUUCGAAUCCCGCCGUCCCGAC
rnacentral:tRNA from 8 species